AGAGUUUGAUCCUGGCUCAGGAUGAACGCUAGCUACAGGCUUAACACAUGCAAGUCGAGGGGCAGCAUGUUGGUUGCUUGCAACCAAUGAUGGCGACCGGCGCACGGGUGAGUAACGCGUAUCCAACCUACCCUUGUCCAUCGGAUAACCCGUCGAAAGGCGGCCUAACACGAUAUGCGGUUCACAGCAGGCAUCUAACGUGAACGAAAUGUGAAGGAGAAGGAUGGGGAUGCGUCUGAUUAGCUUGUUGGCGGGGUAACGGCCCACCAAGGCGACGAUCAGUAGGGGUUCUGAGAGGAAGGUCCCCCACAUUGGAACUGAGACACGGUCCAAACUCCUACGGGAGGCAGCAGUGAGGAAUAUUGGUCAAUGGACGAGAGUCUGAACCAGCCAAGUAGCGUGCAGGAUGACGGCCCUAUGGGUUGUAAACUGCUUUUAUAGGGGGAUAAAGUGUGCCACGUGUGGCAUAUUGCAGGUACCCUAUGAAUAAGGACCGGCUAAUUCCGUGCCAGCAGCCGCGGUAAUACGGAAGGUCCAGGCGUUAUCCGGAUUUAUUGGGUUUAAAGGGAGCGUAGGCCGUUUGGUAAGCGUGUUGUGAAAUGUCGGGGCUCAACCUGGGCAUUGCAGCGCGAACUGCCAGACUUGAGUGCGCAGGAAGUAGGCGGAAUUCGUCGUGUAGCGGUGAAAUGCUUAGAUAUGACGAAGAACUCCGAUUGCGAAGGCAGCCUGCUGUAGCGCAACUGACGCUGAAGCUCGAAAGCGUGGGUAUCGAACAGGAUUAGAUACCCUGGUAGUCCACGCGGUAAACGAUGGAUGCUCGCUGUUUGCGUCUGACGUAAGCGGCCAAGCGAAAGCGUUAAGCAUCCCACCUGGGGAGUACGCCGGCAACGGUGAAACUCAAAGGAAUUGACGGGGGCCCG
rnacentral:rRNA from 1 species